UGGCCCAUCUCCCCUCCUUGAGUCAUUAACUGGAAAUCCACGUGGGCCCCUGGACAACCAGAGCUGGGAUGAGCUGGUCAUCCCUGUGGCUUUCUUUUCAGGCUGUCUACUUUAAUUAUUUGCGAUGGCGGGAGUUGAGUUUUCCUUUAUGGCCAACAGCUAGAGCUGUCACUCUAUACCAAUUAGAGACUUAAAUGGAAAUUACUGUUCCCAUCUCAAACAUCUACAUGGAACACAGACUCAAAAUGGAGUACCAUUGUUACCAACUUGACAGUUAAGCACUGGCUAGGAACUCUACUGCAAUUUGAAUAGAAGUUAUAAAAGUAGGUAUUUUUGCCUCGCUCAUGAUCUUAUGAGGAAUCCAUUCAGUCUUUCAUCAACCUGGCCCUGUUGUUCUCUGGAUCAUACAGCCUAUCUUCUGAGAAUAAUCAGCCAUCAUUGUUCUGUUUGUUCCUCUG